AUUGAACGCUGGCGGCAGGCCUAACACAUGCAAGUCGAGCGGAUGAAGGGAGCUUGCUCCUGGAUUCAGCGGCGGACGGGUGAGUAAUGCCUAGGAAUCUGCCUGGUAGUGGGGGAUAACGUCCGGAAACGGGCGCUAAUACCGCAUACGUCCUGAGGGAGAAAGUGGGGGAGCUUCGGACCUCACGCUAUCAGAUGAGCCUAGGUCGGAUUAGCUAGUUGGUGGGGUAAAGGCCUACCAAGGCGACGAUCCGUAACUGGUCUGAGAGGAUGAUCAGUCACACUGGAACUGAGACACGGUCCAGACUCCUACGGGAGGCAGCAGUGGGGAAUAUUGGACAAUGGGCGAAAGCCUGAUCCAGCCUUGCCGCGUGUGUGAAGAAGGUCUUCGGAUUGUAAAGCACUUUAAGUUGGGAGGAAGGGCAGUAAGUUAAUACCUUGCUGUUUUGACGUUACCAACAGAAUAAGCACCGGCUAACUUCGUG
rnacentral:rRNA from 1 species